GAGUUACAUAAUGACCCUGCUGAUCAAAUUCAACUAACAUACGUCAAUGACACUUGUUAGCUUGUCAUAGAAAACCGAUUCUAUACUAAUAUUUAAAAAAAAGCUGAAGAGUUUGUUUGUUUGUUUGAUUUAACGCGCUAAUCUCAGGAACUACUGGUCCGAUUUGAAAAAUUCUUUCAGUGGUAGAUAGCCCAUUUAUCGAGGAAGGCUAUAUAUUAUAUUAUCCCCGUAUUCCUACGGGAACGGGAACCACGCGCGCGAGCGAGGUUUGUUUUCCUUGUGAACCAUAAUAAUAUAGUAAUAUCUCUGAAUAGCGAAUGUUCGUUCUAGAAUGCAAUAAUUAUAUUGUGCACUAAAAUAAAUAAAUCUGCAAUGUUUUUUUUUUCAAACGAUAUAUAUUUAUUUAAACGGGAGACUGUGAUAGCUAGACCUGCGUCUAGUCUUCACAGUGUUAGUCCAAGAUGACACAAGAAAUCUCAUUUUUAAUGAUAUUAUUUUUUGAUGUGUUUAACAUUAAGUUUUAAUAAAAAAAAACUUGUGCAAUAACAAGACAGCUUCAAACGGCCGAUUAAAUUAAAUUAUUUACUUUACUACUUGUAUUAAAAAUAAAUGUUUCAUUGUACUAUUGUCUUUUAUAUUUAAGAAAAAUAUACAGGGUGCUCGAGAGUAUUUCCCAUAACUUCAAGAUGUUGACAAGUCCACUAAUAGGAGCCGAACUAACUAACUAUUUUAAAAUUUUAAAAAUGCAAGGAUAGAUAAAAGCGUGUAUUACAUGAAUAGUGGACUCUUCAACACCUUGAAGUUAUGGGAAAUACUUCCGAGCAUCCUGUAUAAACAGUCCUCUUAUAAUAUGGGUGAAGUUCUUCCUAAAGUAAAGUAAAUUAAAGUCUGGUCCAAGUGGGAGACUUCGGCCGUGGUUACCAUCCUACCGGCAAAGGCGUACCGGCAAGCGAUAUAGCGUUCCGGUCAAUACCGUCUUUACCAUAAGGGCACACGGGCCCGUGCCCAGGGCCUCUAUUCUCAGGGGGGCCCCGAAGGACCUACAAUUUCUCUCACACAUUUAUUCUCAAAACAUUUUUGUCGGACACAUUACUUUUUUUCGCAAAUUAGUAACCUUAUAAGAAGGUAUUUACGUGGCAUAUACACAGAUACUGUGGGCAUAUACUACGCUAUUAUAUCGAUGACUGCGGCUAUUCCUACUGUACAAAUUAAUAAUAUUUCUGAACGAUGCGUUCAGAAAUAUUAUAUUCUACCUAAUUUACUAAGAACACCAUCUAGCGAUCACUCACGCAAUCACUCCGAUUCCAAAGUCAAGCUGCACCGUCUAAACAAGGCCUAUCAUAAAUGUCGCCAUUGUCUAUGGUAGGGGGAAUCCCCGAAUGAUGUAUUAAACUUUCAGUCUGUUAUGAGUGAGUGGAGUUAUUUUAUUUCAUUUAACAUUUAAAAUUGAGUAAGAUAAACAAAAGUUUCGAUUUGUUCGUUUGUCGUUCGUUUAAACAUUUUAUUAUGUCGAAAAGAACAUAUUUAAGUGGUUCACAAAAAAGAAAAAAAAUUAUAGCUCAAAAAGAAAUAACGGAAAAACUUCCAAAACUCACUUAAUUUUUUACGGUGGAAGAAACAAAUAAGCCGAGAGAUUAUUCAUUCUCAUCACCGCAAGACAAAAGUACCUCUGAAUGUUACCAGGAAAAAGAGGUUACGUGUGACGAAAAUGACAAUCACACAUCAGAUGCUAAACCAUCGACUUCAACUUACUGUGAAUUAAUAACUGCAAGCUUAGAGAAUGUAUCUGUGUCUCCUGACCCGGGUACUUACUGUGACGACAUUUUACCGGAAAAAGUCCGUGAUAUUUGGAUUCGAAAAGGGCCAGAGUUUUUCCAAAAUAUAAACAGUGACUUCUCCGAAACUUCUACUAGUUUUCCAGAUUCAAAUGGUAGAACAAAAACAAGAUGCUUGACAAAAAAUAUUUUUAUUCGUAAAUUGACGAAUGGUGAGUCUUUAGAAAGAAAAUGGCUUCUUUAUUCACCAGCAAAGAAAUCUGUAUACUGUUAUUGCUGCCGUCUAUUUAAUACCACUACUGGUGCUGGACAUAAUUUAAGUUCUCCUAAGGGAUAUAAAGAUUGGAAGUAAGUAAGUAACUUAUUGAUAGAGCAUGAGAACAGUUUACAGCACAGGGAAUUUAUGAUGAAUUAUGUUGCAAGAAUGAAAACUAACUAUUGGAAUAAAUAACUAUUGAAAUAAUAGAGAAAUUAACUAUUGGAAGAAUGUACUUAAGAGGAUUGUAGCAGUAGUGAAAUUUUUGGCUUCAAGAGGUCUUGCUUUUCGUGGUGAUAAUGAGACAUUAGGAUCGCAAAAUAAUGGGAAUUAUUUGGGAUGCUUAGAACUGAUUAGUGAGUUUGAUCCUUUUCUUGCUGAUCACAUACAAAACUGCGGAAAUCGUGGAAAAGGAAGUACAUCAUAUUUAUCGGCAAAUAUUUGUAAUGAAUUUAUUAAUUUAAUGGGACAGCAAGUUUUGAAAACCAUUGUCAAUGAACUUAAAACAGCAAAGUACUACUCUAUUAGCGUAGAUUCUACACCAGAUCUGUCCCACGUUGACCAACUGACUCUCAUAGUUAGAUACGUAAAAGACGGACAGCCUAUUGAGAGAUUUUUGCCUAUGGAUGAACAUAAUGCGCAAUAAGGUGCGUUGGGGUAAGAUCGGAGCUGGGGUAAGAACGUUGAAGUCAAAUUUCCAACAUAUUCGGCUAUAUUUUUUAAUGCUAGGCACAUUACGCGUAACGUCUUUAUGUUCCGCCCCGCCCCGCAGUGAUCGCCAGUCGCUCCGGCAAUAAGGACGUGUACUACGCGCUGUUAGAAAAAAAAGCAGUAAGAGAUGAAGAAGUCUUUGAACUUUUACAAAAUUCUGAUUAUGAAGACGAAAAUCAAGAUCCUUUUGCAGUUGAUGGGGAUGACAGAAGUGAUGACGAUUAUAUAUCCCUGGCAACCGUUCUGACAUGUCACAAAGCGAAGCAAGUUCAGAAAGCAGCAAUGAAGAUGUACCUUCAAAUCAAGUUGCUGAAAAUAUUGGAAGACGAGGGAGGGGAAGAGGACAAUUACGACGCCGAGGUCGUGUACGUAGUGGUCGAUCCUAUUUUCGCAGGGGUCGUGUAAGAACCUCACAAUCAUCCACUGCAGGGAGAAUGUCGCCGCCAUCAAAUAACUUGUCAGGAUGGACCGAAGCAAGGUUUCCGCUUAACAAACCUAUUUUAAGUGAACCUUCGUAUAUAAAACCUGAUAGAUCGAACUAUACUAUGAUGGAGUAUUUUAUAAACUAUUUUGACGAUGAUUUAAUCAAUUUGAUAGUAGAUAAAACAAAUCAAUCAGCUGUAUACAGAACAGGCUUGCAUAGGCUAUCCCCUUACAAGAAUGUGGGAAGCGAAGUGGAGGGUUCCGUUGGUAGCUGAUAAUAUGUCACGUGACAGAUUUUUUCUUCUAAGAAACAAUCUGAAAUUUGUUUUUGAUUCUGACGUUUCUAAUCAAAGCAAAUCCAUGGAUAAACUCUGGAAGGUGCGACCAUUACUGAACAGAAUACUUCAAGCUUGUAAUAAAGAAGUUAAAGAGCAGCACAUCUCUAUUGAUGAAAUGAUGAUCCCAUUCACAGGUGCUUGCAAUAUGCGUCAAUAUUGCCCAGGAAAGCCACAUCCUGUGGGUCUGAAAGCAUACGUGUUAGCAAAUCCAGAUGGAACCGUGUGUGACUUAAUUGUAUAUCAAGGCUCAACAACGUUCCCUGAGUAUGAUAACACAACUUUUAGUCAAGGUGAGAAAGCUGUUAUAAAACUAACUGAAGCUCUUGUCCCAGGUCAUUUGGUUUACUUUGACAGGUAUUUUACAACUGUUAAACUUGUAACAGAAUUAAAAGAGAGAGGAAUUGAAAGCACAGGUACACUAAUGAAAAAUAGGAUUCCUGCCGCUGCUCGCGAAGUUCUAGAAUCCGAUAAUAGCUUAAAGCAAAAAGGACGUGGAGCUUGUCAAGUUCUUGUGAGAAAUGACAACAAAAUAGCCCUCACAAAGUGGCUUGAUAACAAGCCCGUUAUGAUGUUGUCAUCCAUUUACACAAAUGAGGACCCAGACUUCUGCAAAAGAUAUUCUAAGAAGGAUAAAACGUAUUUGUAUGUUUGCAGACCAGACGUAAUUAGAAUGUACAACAGAAAUAUGGGUGGAGUAGAUUUGGCAGACAGACUCGCUGUUUGUCCGUCAAGGUGCCGCACAAAAAAGUGGACAGUGAGAUUCUUUUCUCACAUGCUGGACCUGGCAAUAAAUAAUGGCUGGAUUCAGUAUAAAAAAGAUGAGGAACAGAAACGAACUCCAGCCAGGAACAUUUUGCAGCUCAGAUUUUUCAAGAUGAAAAUAGCAGAAGAACUAAUUGAGACGAAUACUGCUCCGUUGGAAUUUUCGGACUCAAAUAACGAAUGUUCAGAUAAUGAGAUUGGCGAAAAGCGACGCGGAAGAUCUGCUUUUGUACCGAUACCAUCUAAGCUUCGUCGAAUGCAAGGAGCAACGCAUAUGCCAGAUUUUACUGAAAAGCAAAUGCGAUGUCGCUUCACUGGUUGUGCAAUGAAAUCCACUGCAAAGUGUUUGCCUUGUAAUGUUCAUUUGUGUCUUAACUCGAAAAGAAAUUGCUUCAAAGCUUUUCAUGAAUGUCUGAAUUAAAUUAACAAUUAGUGUGUUUUUAAUAAAUGAACUUUAUUCCGAACGACUUUAAUUAUUUUUAUCAUUAUAACCAACAAAACAAUUUAAUGGCUUCUUACAAUAAUCAAUCUUUUAUUUCAGCACAGUAUUUAUUAAAAACUAUGAUGGAAAACAUAUAAAUAAUAAUAAUUAUAAACAUUCUAUGUAUUUUUCACCAUUAAUACAUGGGAAAUUUACAGAUAUUUAAGGCAACUAAUUUAUGUAAUUACAACCGAAUGUCUUAAAUUUAGAACAAAAUUUUUUUGUAUUUUUUUUACUUCUGUGGUAUCAUAAUACACAUACAAACCCACCCUGAAAACAUCAUAAUGAUUUGAUAAGUGGUUACAAAGUUAUUGGCAUACUUUGGUCUGGGACGAUGGGACUACAUUUUUUUUGUCCUAAAAUUAGGAAGUCGGGACGAAGUUCCAACUAGCUUUUUCCGUUUCAGGUCGCAGGAGGUUAAUGGUAUAUUUUUCUCAUUCAUGGGUAUUCAUUCAAUGACAUUAUUAGUAGUAUACAUAAAAACUCAUUAAAAGCUUGUUAUUUGAUUUUUAUUUGCAGUCUAAUUUUUAUCACUGUUUGAUUUUUGUUACUUACAAAACAUUUUUCUGGAUGAGCGUAGUUUAUUAAAAAUUUAUAAUAAGAAAAAAAUCUAAUCUUGGCGUAAGCCAUUAUAGAAUCAUUUAAGCUACAACAUUUUUUCAAACAUUCAUUUCUGGUUUUCAAUUUGUGUUAAAAGCAAACUAGCAAGCUAAAAGCAACCAUGUUAAAAGCAAAUUUUUAAAACAUGCGCCAUUUAAAAUAAAUUACUUAUUUACAUCAAUAAUUCUCUUACAGAUGCCUCGUAAAUACACUCGAACUUCAUCGCGGGCGAGUUCUUAUACUAAAGAAGAUCUGCAGUUAGCCAUUAAAAAAAUAAACAAUAUAGAACUCACCUAUGCAGCAGCUUCAAAAUUGUAUGGCAUACCUACAUCCACACUUAGUGAUAGAGUCUUAAAAAAAACAGCGGUAGUAAGUAAUACCCUUGGCCGCCCGACAGCUAUCCCAGUGGCAUUAGAAACUAAACUGGCAAACUGUCUACGAACUCUGGAGAAGUGGGGGUGGGGGCUAUCAAGAGAAGAAGUACUCGAUGUAACACGGGAUUUUAUAAAAAGAAAUAAAAUACAAAGCCCCUUUAAAGAUGACAGACCUGGACCGGACUGGUUUAUUUCUUUUUGUAAACGCCACAAUUUGUCUAUAAAAAAGCCGCAACCUGUAGAAUAUCUUAAAAAAAAAUGACAGAUCCGUUCAUCAUUAACGAAUAUUUUACACUUCUCAAAAAGACGCUUCACGAGCUAAAUCUUUUGGAUCCAAAGCAAAUCUGGAACCUAGAUGAAACUUCGGUUUGUCUCGAUCCCACAAAAACUAAAGUUGUAGGUGGCAAAGGGGAACCUUGUACACGAACAAUAUGUGGAAGUGCCAAAGAAAAUAUUACUGUGUUGACUACUGUAAAUGCCGCCGGACAGAAAUUAGACCCAUUGAUUGUAUUUAAAGGCAAACAUAUGUACGAACAGUGGAUGUUAAAAAAUCCUGAAAAAUAUGAUUUCAACCUUGCAUACACAGCCAGUAAACGAGGCUGGAUGGAAACCAGUAUUUUUUAUGAUUACAUGGCAAAAGUAAUUAUUCCUAAUUUGGGUGAAGAAAGGCCCGUAUUGCUGCUAUAUGAUGGACAUGCCAGUCAUGUUGAUGACAAAGUAGUAGCUUUAGCAGCAGAAAACAAUAUAACCAUAUUAAAGUUUCCAGCACACACAUCACAUCUAUUACAACCACUGGACUUGGCUGUGUUCAAAUCAUUUAAAAUGAUUUGGAUAAGAACCUCGUAAAAUGGCAACGACAAAACGUUGGAAUCAAAUUGAGAAAACAAAGUUUUGCUCAAAUGUUUGCUGAAGCCUGGCAGGAAACUAAACCGCAAGUAAUACGAAAUGGCUUUAAAAAAGGUGGCAUUUACCCUUUUAAUCCUGCUAUUCUGCCAAAGGACAAAUACGAUCCAUCAGCUUAUGCGCGAUGGCAAAAACACAAGGCUCUAGUGACUAUUAAACAACCGAAAUCUUUAACACUAAUAUGUGUACAUAAAAUUAACAAGAUCAUGUCGCAUAAUAGCUCUACAUCUAUCUCAAACAAUAAUAUUGCUUACUCUGAAGAGUUGAAGUCACAUACUACCAAAAAUAGGGAUCUACUGCUACAACCAACUUUCGAACAAUUGCUUCUAGAAAAAGUUACGCAACAUCCUCAUAACUCAAAGAACAAUAUAGCUGUUAAGUUAAAACGAGUCGCUAAAGGCGCAGAAGUGAUUACACAAUCUUAUCUAGAAAAGCAAAAAGAAAUAGAAUUAGCAGUGGAAAAAGAAAUAAAGAAGACAACAAAACGGAAACUUAAAACAGCACUUCAAUCAAAAAAUCAAGUAUUAGAUUAUAUACCAGGACCAUCUAGGAUUCAAGAUGAAAAUUCAAUAGCUAAAGAAACUGUAGCGAAUGUAUCGAUAUUGACUAAAGAUAAGAACACGGACGGGCAUAUUUCUAAAAAAGGCAAGGGAAUAGGGAAAAAAACUAGAAAUGGCAAAGAAAACAAUUUCAAAAUUGACAAGAAUGUUAAACAAAGGACAAUCAUGAAAACUAAAGAAAUUCAUAAAUUAAAUAAUAAAUCUGGCCAAAGGGCAACUACUAAUACAGCUAUUAAAAAGCGUAAAAGAUCUUGCAGUGUAACAACAGUUGAAAGUAUUCAAAUGAGCGUACAUAGUGAUUCUGACCUAUUAGACUGUGUAAGCGAUAUAUUAUCUGACUGUGAUAUAUGGGCUGACUUCAAUUUUUAUGACGAAAACAAGACUGACCUAGAAUUAUCAUCUAAAGAACAGCAAAUUGAACAAAUAGUUAAAGAAAUACAUGAAGUUGGUAAUAAUCAAGAGAGAAAAACAAGCCAAAGAGACGACAAUACAUGCGAAGAGAAAUAUGAGAUAGAAGAAAUUUUAGACAUUCAUACCAAAGAGAUAAAUAUUCAGGCAAAUGAUUAUAAUAAAGUAACUAUUUUAUCAUCUGUAAAAAUCACACCAGAGAACCAAGCCUUCUACAAAAUUUUACCCGAAAGUUUACAACUAAAGUCGAUUGAUAAAGAAACAGAUUUGUCUACAACCCAAAAACAAAAAACAAUCACAAAAUACAAGCGCAUCUAAUAUACCAAAGAAAAAAACAAAGAAAGUUAAUUUUCCUAUAAAGCCAACUACAAAAAAGGAAAGGGAAUUCGGUGAAAACUUUUAUAGCAACAUUGAUAAAGGAGAUGAUGUUAGCACAAAAAAUUACGUUGAGGAUUCGAAGACAUACAAUAUCGGGGAUACAGUCCUUGUUAGAUAUUUCAAACGUACUUGGAUUUAUUACGUUGGUAUUAUUGAAAGCAAUGAUAUGGAUUCAAACUCAAAUAUCUAUAAUAUUACAUUCUAUAAAACUAUUGUAAAGAAAAAUAACUUGAAAUUUGUUAUUCCUAAGCGUAAGGAUGAAGAUUCUGUACCUGAUUCUAAUAUAGUUAAGGUUAUAGAACUACUGCAGAUAAAUGACGAUCCUGUGGAGUACAUCCUUAUGAAUAACGAUGAUGAGAAUUUCUUUUAAAUUGAAGAAUAUUAAUUUCAUAUAUAUAUAUAGUAAUUUCAUACCAUGUUUGUGAUUUUAAUAUUUUAUAAUGUAUGUAUAAUUGUUUCUAAAAAGUGAAAAUGAUUAUUUUGUUAAAGAUAAUUUUUUAAAGAAGAAAUAUUAUUUUGAUUUUUAUUUUUCUGAAGUCUAGAUUAAUAUGUGUGACAACAGUCUAGAAUCUAAACUGUUAUCACAUGCAAUAAACUUAGUUUAAUUAGAAUAAAACUGUUUUAGUACAAAUAAUAAUAAAGAACAUUUGACUGAAUUUAAAAAUAUAUUUUAAAUGUAUUUCAUAUUCGUUUCAUUAUUUGAAGAUUUCAGGUUCUAGAAAAAUACGAUGUUGUUUUCUAUAACCUCAACCUUUAAUUUCUUUGUAAACCUUAGUGUUUCGAUUUUAUAUAAAGCUCUACCAUACAAACAAUGCGUACUUUAUUUGUAGAUAAAUGCCACCUAUGCCAGUAAGUGUGUAACUCAAUCGUAAGAAAACCCUAAAUUAUAUACAAUCACAUGAAAAAAACACGCUCAAAUCACACAAGUCGUGAUUUGUGAAGUCCUUACAAUUUAUUCCUAAGGAUAAAAGCAAACUUUGGGAAUCUCAAUUUCUCUUAAAUGUGUCAUGUGGGGUAAGUUCGGACAGAAAAUACCAAAAAAUAAAGAAUCGUUUGAAACAUCAGGUUCAUCAUUGGUCAGAGCUACGACAAUGCGUCAAAUAUGUCUGGAAAGUACUCUGGUGUUCAAGUCAAGAAUAAAAGAAGUUUGCGAAUUUGCGAUUCCAUGUGUGGCACAUUCGCUAAAUUUAGUGGGUGUUCAGGCUGUUGAGUGUGUUACUGAAGCAGUAACAUUCUUUCAAUUUGUACAAAAAUUGUUUAAUUUUUUUUCGGCUUCGACAAAACGAUGGAAAAUUUUGACAGAGCAUUUAGGUGCAAAUAGAGUCUUGAAGUCUCUUUCGGAAACUAGAUGGUCUGCACGUGCUAAUGCUAUUAAUGCUUUGCAAAAUGGUUAUUUAAAUAUUUCUGAAGCAUUGUGUUCAAUCGCAAGUGACAUUAAUCAACCAGGAGACACUAGAAAGGAAGCCUAGCAAAAAAAAUGGAAAAAUUUGAGACUGCUCUUCUAACUGAAAUAUGGAAUGAUCUUUUGGGAAUUAUGAAUAAAACAAGUCUAAGUUUACAGAAUAGCACUAUGACCAUGGACGUUGUAACGAAACUUUACGAGUCUCUGAUCAGUUAUGCCAAUACCGCACGCGAUAAUUUUGAUCAGUACGAAACGGCUGCUAAAGAAAAAAAUCCAUAUGCUGACUACAAAGACACAUUUGAAAGAAAAAGAUUUCGCAGCACACGCAUCACUUUUUUUGAAGGAUCAUCAGAGACGGCACAGUUGAGAGGCAAAGAAAAGUUUCGUGUAGAUACUUUCAUUCCCAUAAUUGACACAUUAAUUACUCAUUUAAAAAAACGUUUUGCAGCAUACCAAGAAAUUGAUAGUCGAUUUGGUUUUCUUUGUCAGUUAACAAUAAUAGAAUCUGAUGAGUUGACCAAAAAAUGCAAAGAAUUUGCAAAAUUUUAUCAUAAAGACAUAAAUGCAGAUGAGUUCAAAACAGAAUGUUUUCAUUUAAGUCAAUAUUUAAAAAACAUAGCAAAGCGAUCGGCGGAUUUAAAUAUCUCAACCUUACAUAACUUAAUAAAAGCAGAUAAAUUGGAAGAAACUUUUCCAAACGUAGAAAUUGCUACAAGAAUAUUCCUUUGCUUGAUGGUUACUAAUUGCAGUGGAGAGCGGUCAUUUUCGCAGCUUAAGAGAAUAAAAAAUGAAUUGCGAACAACAAUGUUACAAGAACGACUAAGUAAUUUGUCAAUUAUGUGCGUUGAAAGUGAUAUCCUUCAAAACAUUGACUUUAAUGAUAUAAUAGAAGAUUUUGCUCAACAGAAAUCCCGAAAGAAACCAUUAUCGUAAUCAGAACCAAAAAACAGCAGCAUUCGAAUAUCAUUAAUAGCCGCGUACUGACUGAGCGAGCAGCCUCGCGAGGCAGCCGCGCGAGGCAAAUCCUCGGUCGGUCAAGACGCGCCUCGGCCGAGGCAAACGCACGCGCUGCCUCGCCCGAGCGUGCCGCGACCCGAGCCAAACGUUGUCGGUUUUUGUCCAUGCUCAAAGGCGCCUCAGUACGUUUGCCGCGCGCACUCAAGACGGUCGUGUUUUGCCUCGCUUGUUCGACGAAUACGGAAUAGAGAACAUAAGUAUAAUUAUAUUAUCAUGAAUAGAGAACAGUGUCUCAAAUUAAUACAUUUAUAUGGAGAAUAUAAACUACUUUGGGAUGCGCAAUGUCCUAAUUAUACCAACAGAGGACUAAGAGAAGAUGCGUGGAAUAACAUAAAUCGUGAAAUGAACAUUCCAAUAAUGGAUUUAAAAAAAAAGAUGGAGUCUUUGCUAGGAUCCUAUAGGAGGGAAAGGUCACGUGAAAAGAAAAGCCGUAUCACAGGAUCAGGUAUGUUUAUGUUUAUUAUUAUGUUUUCGUACAGUCAUUACAUAUUUAUAGUCAGUCGUACAAAUUUAAUUAAUUUAUUAUUUAUUACAGGUCGUGGUGACAUAUAUAAAUCAAAUUGGUACGCCUAUGAAGCUUUCAGCUUCCUGGGCGAUAGAAACCAUCCAGGAAAUACUCAAGAUACUUUACCUGAAGACAAUGCAUGUCACAGUGAAAUUCAAAAUGAUGGAAGUCAAAGUAAAACUCGAAAUGAUGGCAGUGAAAAUGAAACUCAAAAUAGUGGCAGUCAAAGUGAAACUCAAAAUCAAGUCGGUAAUGAAAAUACAGUUAAAGAAACCAGAAAUGAAUAUACGAGAGCAAAGAAGAGAACUAAAAGAACUGAGCCAAAUGAUUUAACUGAUAAUGCUAUAUCAGAAGCCUUAACACUAUUACAACAGUGUGCAAGUGAUAGUGCUGCUUCGGAAAAACAUGACUCCUACGAUGUUUAUGGGCAAUAUGUCGCAAAUGAGUUGCGAAAAUAUGACGCUUUUACUUUAGCACAUGUAAAGCAUGCUAUAAAUAAAAUUAUUUUCGAAGCGGACAUGGGAGCAUACCCAUCAUACACUGGUUAUUAUACUCAAUCAUACAGUGGGCUAAACAGUUCCAAUAAUACGUCUUGUCUUUCUUCCUCACCGAUGCCUCCUCAAUCACCGAUGCCUCCUCAAUCACAGAUGCCUCCUACCUCACCGAUGCCUCCUACCUCACCGAUGCCUCCUACCCCACCGAUCCCUCCUACCUCACCGAUGCCCCCUCCGCCUCCUCAUCCUCAUUGUUAGAUAAGUACUUGUUUAAUUAAGCGUUUCAUAUUAAUUGUCUUUUUGUCUAUUUGUCAUGUUGUAAUAAUUAAUAAAAAUGUACGAAAAAUGGAAUAAAAUUAUUUUAUUUUACCUUAACAUAAUCCCUUAGCACAUCGAUUAACGCAUCACAAACUUCAUGAACGAUUACUGAUAUUCUUUGUUUUGAUAUACGAAACAGAUACUGCAAACUGGUAUAAGAAUCUCCCGUGGCCAAAAAUCUUAACGUAACCAACAAUCUUUCCCUUGCGGUUAUUGCUUCUCGAAAAUUUGUGUCCUUCUUGCUUAUUUUGGCGUUUAUAAGAGAGUACAGAUGUUCAAAUUCAAUUUUAUUCAUUCUAGUGAAAUUGCUUUCUGCGUCAUCAAAGCACAGCUCUUCAAAUAUUCUGUUUCCAGCUUGAAAUCUGUUUUUGUAUAACGUUUUUAUCCAAAAAUGUUUAGAUUUUUUUCUUUUCUUUUUUUGUACAAGUUGAUGAAUCAGUAUAAAGGCAGUGGUGGCGAUAGCCUUCCGAACGCACGGCCUCAUGAUAAUCUUAAUCUAAACUGAAUAUGCGCUACUCGCGCGUGGCUUCUGUUCGACUUGUGAGUAACUACUGAGCGUUCGAGUCUUUUGCUCAGCCUCGGUCUGGCUCGGCUUUGCCGCGCGCGGCAGUCUCAUGUGUAUUAAAUUACAGAAUGAGGCUGCCUCGCGCGGCAAACGUUGCGAGGCAAACGUCCGAGGCUGCCUCGCGAAGCUGCUCGCUCAGUCAGUACGCGGCCAUUGACGUAUU